CUGAAGGUUGUGGGGGUGUCUGAGGAGAUACAUUCCCUUUAGCCAGCCAGUUAAUGAAAACUCCAGUGGAUUGUAUGGAAUUGAGUGUUUGCCUGUUCCUCUGAGCUCACCUGCCUGGCGAUUGCAAACAAAAUCCUGAUGGCUUGCACGGCAAAAGAAGAUGCUGAAUAUCCUGGUUGUUGAAAGCUUUGAGACAACCUGAGUGCAAGGUAGACCUUAAUACACAACUGCUGAAAGGGAACAGCAUGAAGGGAAAAAGCCAUUCUCAGCUAGGAAGAGCUCAGCCUUACAAAGCGUCUUAGACAAAUGCAGCAGUUUUGGAUUUUUUUCAGCUCUGCAGACUUGAGUGUGAAACCAUCCCUUUUUGAUAUAUUUUGAGAGAGUUCCCAGAAGUGACCCAAUGGCAAAUGACUCAAGUGUGUUCUUAAGCAGGAAAGGCACAGCUGCACUGAGGGAAGAGUCACCAUUCCAGCACGAGCUCUCUUCAGAGGUGCUGACCCAGCUUGACAGGAAAUCUUCUUGAAACUGAUGCACUUGCAGUUCUUGCUUGGGAGAGUGUUUUCUAAAAAAGACAUCGAAGUCCAUAUUAAAAGUAUGAAAGAAAACCAGUUGAAUUUGAGUAAUUACAGCCAGAGAAAUGAAGAAAACUGCAAGAAGAUUAAAGAAACAUUUACCAGGUGUUGAUGUUAGUGUGCUUUAAAUUAUUCAUCUGGUUGUAGAAAUUAAAAUUCACCCAGCUAUUCAGCUGUAAUUCUGACUGAUUUAGACAGAGUUUCUGCAGGAUUAAAUUUUGGAAA